GAUGAACGCUGGCGGCGUGCCUAAUACAUGCAAGUCGAGCGGUAAGGCCUCUUCGGAGGUACACGAGCGGCGGACGGCUGAGUAAUGCAUAGGAACGUACCCCAAACUGAGGGAUAAUUCACCGAAAGGUGGACUAAUACCGCAUGUGCUCUUCGGAGUAAAGCUUCGGCGGUUUGGGAGCGGCCUAUGUUCGAUUAGCUAGUUGGUGAGGUAAUGGCUCACCAAGGCGACGAUCGAUAGCGGGUCUGAGAGGAUGAUCCGCCAGACUGGAACUGAGACACGGUCCAGACUCCUACGGGAGGCAGCAGUAGGGAAUUUUCCACAAUGGGGGCAACCCUGAUGGAGCAACGCCGCGUGCAGGAUGAAGGCCUUCGGGUUGUAAACUGCUUUUCUCUGUGACGAUUAUGACAGUAGCAGAGGAAUAAGGAUCGGCUAACUCCGUG
rnacentral:rRNA from 1 species